rnacentral:rRNA from 1 species
CAGGCCUAACACAUGCAAGUCGAACGCGAAAGGUCUUCGGACUGAUUGAGUGGCGCACGGGUGAGUAACACGUAGGUAAUCUACCCUUGGGCGGGGGAUAACGUUCCGAAAGGGACGCUAAUACCGCAUAAGACCACACGGGCUUUGGCUCGAGUGGGAAAAGGUGGCCUCUUCUUGAAAGCUACCACCGGAGGAUGAGCCUGCGUCCCAUCAGCUAGUUGGUAAGGUAAUGGCUUACCAAGGCGAAGACGGGGUAGCUGGUUUGAGAGAAUGAUCAGCCACACUGGUACUGGAACACGGGCCAGACUCCUACGGGAGGCAGCAGUGAGGAAUAUUGGGCAAUGGGCGAAAGCUGACCCAGCCACGCCGCGUGAGUGAUGAAGGCCUUCGGGUCGUAAAGCUCUGUGGAGAGGGACGAAAACCCUGGUUUCAAAUAGGCUCCAGGCUUGACGGUACCUCUUUAGCAAGCACCGGCUAACUCUGUGCCAGCAGCCGCGGUAAUACAGAGGGUGCAAACGUUGCUCGGAUUUACUGGGCGUAAAGCGCGUGUGGGCGGGUUCGCAAGUCGGACGUGAAAUCCCUGGGCUCAACCCAGGAACUGCGUUCGAAACUGCGAAUCUAGAGUAGUGGAGAGGAAAGUAGAAUUCCCGGUGUAGAGGUGAAAUUCGUAGAUAUCGGGAGGAAUACCAGUGGCGAAGGCGGCUUUCUGGACACUUACUGACGCUGAGACGCGAAAGCGUGGGGAGCAAACAGGAUUAGAUACCCUGGUAGUCCACGCUGUAAACGAUGUGUGCUAGGUGUCGCGGGAUUUGACUUCUGCGGUGCCGUAGCUAACGCGUUAAGCACACCGCCUGGGGAGUACGGCCGCAAGGCUAAAACUCAAAGGAAAUGACGGAGGCCCGCACAAGCGGUGGAGCAUGUGGUUUAAUUCGACGCAACGCGCAGAACCUUACCCAGGCUAGAAAAGUAGAGAAGUCUGUAGAAAUACGGAUGUGCCUUUCGGGGAGCUCUAAUCCAGGUGCUGCAUGGCUGUCGUCAGCUCGUGUUGUGAGAUGUUGGGUUAAGUCCCGCAACGAGCGCAACCCUUGUCAUUAGUUGCUAACGGUUCGGCCGAGCACUCUAAUGAGACUGCCGGGGUUAACCCGGAGGAAGGUGGGGAUGACGUCAAGUCCUCAUGGCCCUUAUGUCUGGGGCUACACACGUGCUACAAUGGUCGGUACAAAGCGCAGCGAGCCCGCGAGGGGGAGCGAAUCGCAAAAAGCCGGCCUCAGUACGGAUUGCAGUCUGCAACUCGACUGCAUGAAGGCGGAAUCGCUAGUAAUCGUUGAUCAGCAGGCAACGGUGAAUACGUUCCCGGGCCUUGUACACACCGCCCGUC